CGGUUAAUUAUGCAUGGUGUCACUGUCUCCUGCUCCCUGUGAUACCCAUGUGCUUUCUUUUGUGGACUUUCUAAUGGACUUUGAUUUAAGAAGUUCUUCAUGGCCUUCACCUGCUGGAAGUGGCACGACAUAUCUGUGGCUAGCACCAUCUCCACCACCAGAGCCCGCAGCUCUCUGGAUGCAGAGAAAGAAGAGUUAUGAGCUGCAGAAUGACCUGUGAAAGUCAAAGCUCCUCCAUUGUCUGCAUAAGUUCCUGUCACACUGACCUCCAGUCAUCCUUGGAGAGGUUAUACAGGAUGUUCAUCUCAUCGUCGUCCUGCAGCAGGCGGUAUGCUGCACUGACAUGGUGACUCUCCAGCACUGAGCGGUCAUUGUACAGGAUGGCUGUGUCUGACCUGUCAGAGAGAAGCAUAAAAAAGUUGUGUUUCAUUGGACUAUAUGGGAAAAACAUCUUAUAGAGAGAGAAACAGCCGAAUGGAUGAUGUUACUUCUUUAAUGGAUCAGCUUUUGGUGUUCAAAGAUCUUAACUCUUCCUUUAUUUGAGCCAUUAUUCAAGUUUCCACUACUGCAGCUUUCUGUCUGCAUUUAAGGAAAGUUCUUGUUGCAAUGCAGCAACUAGCUGAGUACAUAAAACAUCAUUCAGUUUAUGCAGCUUGCUCUCUUUGCAAAGAUUCAUAUUUAACUCUGAGCUCCUAAAUCUGGGAAAGAGGGAUGUCCUUUAUGUUUUCAUAGGAAGAAAAACCAACAACAAGAAAGAAAAAGUCCCAAAAGAAUUCCUCCUUAUGAAAAAUUUAAAGGAUAAUAUUGUUUGAAUUGGAGGUAUAAACCUUUAAAGUAAAAAUGUAUGGCUCAAUGGAUUGGAUAACAAAUUGCAGACAAACAAUCUGUGAAUUUGAUUUGAAACUGAGAAUAAAGUAACCAGAAAAGUUUUCUAAUAUCACAAACUUGUUCUUAUAAAGUGUAAAAAGUUCAACUUUCUAAAUUAGCAUGAAUCUGGAGGAUUUCAUGGAGGCUGUGGAAAAUGUACAGUAACUUUAAGAGUGGAAAUAAGCACACAUUCAAGACUUAUAAAGUGUGUAGAUGUAACUGUCCAAAUUAUAAUCAAAGCAAAUGCUGCCUUUACAAUUUUUCUCUCUACUUCAAGUUCUCAAGAGAACAGAGUUUAUGUGGAGUCGCGUCCUGCCCCAGUGUUAUUACUGCACUGCAGGCGAUCUCAGUGUCAGUGUAAAGGCCCCCUGCUGCAAAUGAAAACAUUGAUCGGGUGAGUCUGCGCCAUGCAUUUUUGAUUUUAUGAUCCAUUACCUUGUCUGGAUGUGAAAGUUGUUUGUGGUCCCCGUGUGCUCGUAGUCGUGCACCGCUGCCGCAAAGAUCAUAGCAAAGAUCUCAAGCUCAGUCAACCAGUGCUGCAGGCAACGAAAGAAAGAGAGGGGGGAGCGAGAGACAAAAGGAAGAAAUUAUAUUGAGAAGGAUGUAGAGGAGGAGAAAUAAACAAUAGAUGGAGAAGAGAAAUGAGAAGCCAGUGAAGAGGAAAAAGGGAGAGCAGGAAAUGUUUCAUCACGCCACAAAGAUGCAGAGGAGAAAAAUGAUAUAAAGGAUGCAGAGAGAGGUAUUUGGCAUGUGAAUACAUUAAAGUCAGGGAUGAAAGAGAAGCAACGGGGAGGAGAAGAUGGAGAAAAGGUCAGCAAAUCAAAACGGAAUCUUUCCAUAGGACAAGCUCUGUUGGGAUUCACAUUUUAAACUGUCUGUUUAAAACUCCUCCUCGGCUCAUUCCCUCUCAGCGCUCUGUCACCCCAUACCCAGUAAAAAAUGAAAAAGUCAUGCUCUCUGUCGCAGGGGGGAAAAUACACAUCGUGCUAUUCAAUAUAAGUUUUCAAAUCAAGUUGAAACCUUUUCCAGGCAUGACUCCUGACUACAAGCAAAAAGAGGAUCAUUUAAAAGCAGCAGCAACUCUCAGAGGAAGAGUUUGACAGUUUGGGAAACACAAUUUCUCACUUUUUGUUGAAAGUUAUAUGAAAAUAAAAUGCUGCUUUCA